UACGAAGGGGGCUAGCGUUGUUCGGAUUUACUGGGCGUAAAGCGCACGUAGGCGGAUUGGUCAGUUAGGGGUGAAAUCCUGGAGCUCAACUCCAGAACUGCCUUUAAUACUGCCAGUCUCGAGUCCGGAAGAGGUAAGUGGAACUCCUAGUGUAGAGGUGGAAUUCGUAGAUAUUAGGAAGAAACACCAGUGGCGAAGGCGGCUUACUGGUCCGGUACUGGACGCUGAGGUGCGAAAGCGUGGGGAGCAAACAGG
rnacentral:rRNA from 1 species